UACAAAGCACGGAUGAACUAAAGAUGCCUAAUUUAUUUAGUAAGCAAAUGUCUACAACUUUAGUCGGCUGAUGAAGAUACGAUAACGUUUUCAUAAGUGAGAUGUUUCGGAUAUUACGGACUCAUAAAAUGGACAUUUGUUGUCAGAUUAUCAGGGUCCGUUGUAACGGGAGUCGACUGUAUGUAGUCGGCUGGGACGUGGGAAAAAUACAUACUAAUCAGCUAUACGCCUUAACCCAAAACCACGAAUUAGCCGUGACUUUCCUUUCAAAAGUUUCUUUCUUGAAGUUUGUUUGUUUCGGACAAUCAUGUACAGAUUUUCCAUGGACGCUGGCGAAAAAGCAAAUAAAUGCGUGAAAAAGCGCCAGCUACCCAUAAGCACAAACUCUCAGCGGGUAUAACAAAAAAAGAAGUAAAGACGGCAAUUCAUAGUUUAAGAAAGUCAAAGUAGUGGGAACCACAUAUAACUGCAAGGAUACACAAUAUAUGUAAAGUAUGAUGACUUCAACAGUAAUUAUACAAACACUGGACGAUAUAAUGAACAACAUUGAAAACAUAACAACAAUUCCGUACAACAAAGGUGAUCAUUUGCCUACAUAGUCAUCCCUACUGAAAUGAUGGGAAGGUAUGCAUUGUUUUUUUUUUUUUUUUUCAGAGUGUGGACAGAAGUGCUUCUUUCGAUAAUGGACAGUGCAUUAGGGUGUUUGUGUAAGGAAUCUGGUAUUAAGUAAUCAAGCUUGUGGAUACCGUAGUUUGUGCGCAGCUUUUCCUUUCUAUAAAACGUAUGUCACAAAUCGUGGCAGUGUUCUCUCCGAAGGUACUUAUUUACGAAACCAGAUGGAUCAGAUACUUCUUAGUUACAUGUUAGAGUAGCUAUUUUCUUAUUGAGUAUAUUACCUACAGUCAGGAUUUGUCGCUCUUUAAAUAUUGGAGCUGUGUGACAAUGGUAUGGUUCACCUUCGAUAAUGUGUAAUACUCUUUUUGGAGCACAAGUUUACUUUCCAUCUUAGUUUUUGUCGUAGUACCCUACACAAGUAGACAGUAAUGAAUGUGUGAGUGUACCAAAGUGUAGUACAGCUGUUUCUUUAACCACACUAGAAUCAAGCUUCGCAAUUUACAAUAUAAUACCAAUCCCUCGCGACACAUUUGCAUAGACCAAUCUAGGUAUUCGUUAAAAAGUAUACGAAGAAAUGUGUACGAUGUAACUCGGUCAUUUACUUGAUUAGGAAAAUGAAGAAAGUUCUCGUCAGGAGCUGGUUUAUUACGAGGUCUAAAUGUAACAUACUUUCUUUUUGUUAUGUUCAUUCUAAACUGUUAAUUUUAAGCCAAUUUGACAGUUCCUGUAGCCAAUCGUUAGCCUGAUCAUGUAAUAAUCUUAAUUCCGUGCCAAAAAAGAAAGCGUUGGUUAAUAUAAUGUUAAAUGUGGUGUGUGUGGUACAUUUACGAUAUCAUUUACAUAAAUAAGAAAAAAAAAGCGGCCCAAGAAUUGACCCGUGAGGAACACCGCAUGUUAUAUGCCCCAUCCCAGAUCUGAAGUCAUUAAUGGCAGUGUAUUGAACGCGAUAUUUAAGGCAGCUUUCAAUCAGAUCUAAAGCUACUCCUCUAGUUCAUGUUUGUACAGUUUGCCUAAUAAUAUGUUACGCUUUUAGUCAAAUGCUUUACAGAAAUCAAGGAACAAGCCUAAAGUGUACAGUGUGUGCUCGAAGUUGGCAAUCGUUUUAUCUUUAGUUUCCAAUAGGGCCGCUUCAGUAGAUUUUUGUUUUUGAAAGCCAUACUGCUGCCUAUUUAUGUUGUUUUGUUGAAAAAACUUAGAAAACCUAGAAUAAAUUACCUGUUCAAGAACUUUUGAGAAUAUCGGCAAGACUGAGAUCGGCCGGUGAUUGCCAGGUCGCCUUUGUCGCCUCCUUUGAAAAUUGCUUUCACCAGAGUGGCUGAACAAUGAUAGGAGAAAUCGCUUUUAUAGGCUGAGGCUUCAUUUUGUCUAUGCCACAUGCACUAUCAUUUUUUAUUUUCUGCAGGUGGUCAUGAAUCUCUGAUUCAGUAGCGGGAGUGAAGAAUAUCAACGACACAGCACAACACCUUUUCAGCUGCAGCACCGUCAUUGGCCUAAAGGUCUACCAGCGGUUAGAGGAGCCUGAUCUGAAAGACUGCCAUGGAACUGGUUAACAGCCUGUUCGAUGCCCUCAAUGUGAAGCUUCCCCUGCUGGGAAUACGAAGUUCAUCAAAGGAAAUUGAGGGAACAUGAAUGAGGAACAGACCUUUGUGCUUGCCACUGCAGCCGACAGCGUGAAAAGGGGAAGGAAGGACAAACUUUCAUCCCAUGAAAGACUCCAGGAGAAAGUAGAAGCAAAGUUGGCGGAGAUAUGUUCUACUACGCAGAAUGCAGCGCUUACAGCACCUGAUCAUGGAUACUCCACACCAGCAGCACUUGACUGUGUUGUUUACUUCUUGUGCGGCUACCUUGUUCACUCUUUUCUCAAACGUAAUAGAUGCUCUGACUGUAUACGUAGCAUCCAGCCCCGAAAUGCAGAGUGCCCAGAGGCAUGAUGCCGCAUCAUGGGAGCUUUUCUGUAUGUUUCGAGGCAUUGAAAACAAGAUUUCAGAUGAGUUGCAAUGGAACCGGCUCUGUUCUGACACGUUUUGGGCCCUUCUUGACGCGCUUGGGGACUGUGAUGUGACAAGUGCCGGUUGUCCCAUUCACAAGGACACCGCUAAUGCAGAGCUUCUUCAUUCAUACAUUGUGCUACGAAUGCAUUUUGGCGCAAAAAAAUGCCUGCAAGAGCCUCAGCUAUUCAGAAAAAGUCACACCUGCCAGAAAGAAAGUCAAGUUAAUGUGAAGGCUUCGUGUACAGCUUCCUUCACUGUAAACAGUUUUCCGAUUAUAAAUAUGUCCCUGUAAUUAAUUCACCUGCUGCAUUCCCUUUCACAACAUCAAAUAAAAGUUACAAGGCAUUUUUUCCUGCUUUUGCUGGUUGAAUUUGUAGGCUUUCCCGCAGUUUUUUUCCUCGCUUAAGGCGUGUUCAGGUAAGAUUGGAAUAUGGUUGAGUAUUUGGGGAUCCUAGGUUGAUUUGUUAAGUGUACUGGUGAAAAAUAAACAUCAAUUACAAUGGAGAGUGGAAUGAAAGCAAG